AUCAAUGUGGAGGGGAUUAAAAAAAAUGCUGCUGGACGCCGGAAAUGGUACCAUCUUGUAUAACUACUUACACUUCUUGCGUGUCUGUUAGUCAUCGAUCUGAAAUUUAAAGUCACAAUAAGAAAGUUAACUGCAAUAUCUUAAAAGUAAAUCAGUGAAAAUGCAAGCUAUGAAUCAAUAUCAAAGAGCUUUUGGAGGGCCACCUCAGCCGCAAAGACAGGGUAACCGAAGAGGGAAUAACAGGGGAGGGUUCCGUAAUAAUUCUAGAUUUGACCAAAAUAACCAGAGGAACCAGAAUCAUGGUCAAGGAGGUCAACGUCCUAGUAAUGAGCCGUUGAAACAAAACCAGCCUGCGGAGAAGCCUCAGCAGCAACAGCAGCAGCAGCAACAGCCGCAACAACAACAGAAACCGGUGCAACAAGCUCAACAACAGAAACCUGAGACACCUAUUAAACAGUCACCACAGCAACAGCAAAAACCACAGCAGGUAUCUCAACAACAACCCAAGCAACAGAUACAACAACAGCAGCAAUCCAAGCAGCAGGGGCAACAACAACAACAACAACCUAAGCAGCAGAUACAACAACAACAACAGCCCAAGCCUAUUCAAAAUACGCAAUCUAAGCAGGAUUCUCAGGACAAUGUGGACAGAGCUGCUAAUUUAGAACAAAAGAAUCAAAAUAUUAAUCAGAAUAUGCCCAACAAUCAAAAUCAACAACAGAAGAAUAUUAAUGGAAACUUUGGAGGUAACAGGCAAGGUAAUUGGGGUCAAGGUGGACCUGCCAACAAACAAAUGGGAAAUAACUUUGGGUCAGGAAACAAACCAUUUGGACAGAGACCCAGUGGCCCAGGUGGUCCUGGACCUGUGCGAAACCUACAAAGGAAUAAUAACCGUGGUCCUCUAGGACAUGAUGGAAAACCAGCUCAAAGAGAAGAACACAUGCUAGCAAAUAAAUUAAAGGAUUUGGUUGGGCCAUUGCUGGAUUUGCCCCCAAUAGAUCAGUCAGAAAUGAAAUUUAAUGGUCGCAGCCGUUUGUAUAUUGGUAAUCUUACUAAUGAUGUAACAGAAGAGGAAAUUUUGAAUCUUUUUAACCCAUAUGGUGAAACUGCAGAGUUGUUUCUCAAUAAGGAAAAGAAUUUUGGCUUCAUUAAAAUGGAUUAUAGAAUGAAUGCAGAAAGAGCAAAACGUGAGUUGGAUGGUAAAAUGAGAAAUGGAAGAACACUUCGAGUAAGAUUUGCUCCACACAAUUGUGCUAUUCGUGUAAAGAAUUUACCACCUUUUGUCUCGAAUGAACUACUCUAUAGAGCAUUUGAGAUAUUUGGGAAAAUUGAGAGGGCUUAUGUCAAGGUUGAUGAGAGGGGAAAAACUCUCAGUGAAGGAGUAGUGGAAUUUGCACGAAAACCCAGUGCCUUAGCCGCUAUUAGAAAUUGUACUGAGAAGUGUUACUUCCUUACAUCAUCUCUUCGUCCAGUCAUUGUAGAAAGCUUUGAAGAACCAGAUGAGGUUGAUGGCUACCCAGAAAAGAAUCUCCCUAAGAAACAUCCUGAAUUUUUGAAAGCUCGGGAGGUUGGGCCAAGAUUUUCGGAACCAGCGAGCUUUGAACACGAAUAUGGUACAAGAUGGAAGCAGCUGCAUGAGCUUCACCGCCAGAAGGAAGAGGCUCUUAAAAAGGAACUAGCUGCUGAAGAAGAGAAGUUGGAAGCUCAAAUGGAAUAUGCUAAAUAUGAGCAUGAAACAGAGCUACUGCGCGAACAACUUCGGCAACGCGAGCAGGACCGCGAGCGGCAGAAGCGCAGCUGGGAGAUGGCGAGCGCGGCUGCCGACCAGCGCCGCGAGAGUGAACGCGCCCAGCUCAUGCGCCAGGAGGAGGAGCUCUCGCAGAGGAUGCGUCUCCAGGAUGAUGAGUUGCGUCGACGACAGCAGGAGAACACACUGUUUGUACAGGCCCAGCGACUCAACUCUAUGUUGGAUCGCCAGGAACAAGGCAUGUUUGACCAGCAGCAGCCAAUGGUUUCCGUAUUUAGCUAGAGGCGGAAUUUUCGUCAUUCUGAAGUGUCUCUAAAGGAAAUCAAGGCACAAUGUACGCAAGAACUGAAGUGGUUGAAAGCGCUGUAAUACAAGUGAAAAGGACUGCUUACUUCUUUGCUGUACCCCUGAUGACCAACAUUAGAUUGUAAUGUAGUUAUUUGUAAUUUAUUGAAUUUGAUUAUACAACCCCUUAAGUAUCGUUAGCGUAUAAAAUCUUAUUCAGGUUUUUUAUUAGAAAUUGUUCUUAAAAAGGUUAAUUCCAAAUUUUUCAUUCAAUUUCAAAAUUUUUGUUACUUUAAUAUUAGAAAAUUAAACUGGGACUCUUGAAAAAUGAUCUAAAUUUAAGCUAAAUAAAUACACAUUCACAAAAUUUCAUUUAAAUCGGUUGUGCUCUUUUGUACAUUAAAAAAAAACAAACAUCGUGAUAUUGAUUUCUGUAUGUUAAGAUAAAAAUGAUUUAACCUUUUCUUAAUGUACCUUUCAAUAAAAUUUAGUAAUAAUAUUAUUUCAGUUUUGAAAUAUUUUAUUACUUUAUAUAUUUUGUUAAUUGUUGGUAAAUCGUACUUUACGAAAAUAUUCAAAUUUAUUUUUAUCUAUAGAAACUAUAACUGUUCAUUACAUUCACUGAUACUGAUAUUAUAAAAUGAUAUUUAAAAAUUAAAAUUCUUUUUUAGGUACACAUGUAUCUA
rnacentral:misc_RNA from 1 species